rnacentral:rRNA from 1 species
CGUAAAUUACCCACUCCCGGCACGGGGAGGUAGUGACGAAAAAUAACAAUAUAGAACUAGUUAACUAUGUUCUGUAAUUGGAAUGAGUUAAUUAUAAAUCCUUUAACAAGGAUCUAGUGGAGGGCAAGUCUGGUGCCAGCAGCCGCGGUAAUUCCAGCUCCACAAGCGUAUGUUAAAAUUGUUGCGGUUAAAACGUUCGAAGUUCAUUUUUGUCCAGUACGGGUGUAGCGUCGUCAAGUAAACGAUCGCUAUCAUUUCCGAUUACUUGGACUAUAUGACUGAACACUAUUAAUGUAUAGCGCCGAUGCCUUUCACUAGGCUAAGCGUCUAUAUAGUUCAGCUUGAUUUUACCUUGAACAAAUUAAGGUGCUCAAAGCAGGCUUUAUAUGCCUUGAAUAUUUUUGCAUGGAAUAAUGGAAAAAGACCUCGGUCUUAUUUAGUUUUCUAKUAGUUUAAUACAGAUCAUGAGGUAGUAAUUAAUAGAAGCAGUCGGGGGCAUUAGUAUUACGGCGCGAGAGGUGAAAUUCUUAGACCGUCGUAAGACUAACUAAAGCGAAAGCAUUUGCCAAGGAUGUUUUCAUUAAUCAAGAACGAAAGUCAGAGGAUCGAAGACGAUUAGAUACCGUCCUAGUUCUUACUAUAAAUUAUGACAGCCAGCAAUUGGAUGUCGCUACUAUUAUGGCGCAUUCAGUAGCUUCCGGGAAACCAAAGCUAGUUUACGGGGG